GUACGGCUUAAGAGUCCCAAACUAGGACGAAACGGCUGUCCAGUAC
rnacentral:hammerhead_ribozyme from 1 species